rnacentral:rRNA from 1 species
CUACGGGGGGCAGCAGUGGGGAAUUUUGCGCAAUGGGGGAAACCCUGACGCAGCAAUACCGCGUGAGUGAAGAAGGCCUUUGGGUCGUAAAGCUCUUUUCUUGGGGAAGAUAGUGGCGGUACCCAAGGAAUAAGCACCGGCUAACUCCGUGCCAGCAGCCGCGGUAAUACGGAGGGUGCAAGCGUUGUUCGGAUUUACUGGGCGUAAAGGGCACGUAGGCGGCACAGCAAGUUAAGGGUGAAAUCCCGGGGCUCAACUCCGGAACUGCUCUUAAAACUGCUGAGCUAGAGAUAGUCAGAGGCGGGUGGAAUUCCAGGUGUAGAGGUGAAAUUCGUAGAUAUCUGGAGGAACACCGGUGGCGAAGGCGGCCCGCUGGGGCUAUUCUGACGCUAAGGUGCGAAAGCGUGGGGAGCAAACGGGAUUAGAUACCCUGGUAGUC